rnacentral:misc_RNA from 1 species
GAUGAAGAACGCAGCGAAAUGCGAUAAGUAAUGUGAAUUGCAGAAUUCAGUGAAUCAUCGAAUCUUUGAACGCACAUUGCGCCCCUUGGUAUUCCAUGGGGCAUGCCUGUUCGAGCGUCAUUUGUACCUUCAAGCCUUGCUUGGUGUUGGGUGUUUGUCUCGCCUCUGCGCGCAGACUCGCCUCAAAACAAUUGGCAGCCGGCGUAUUGAUUUCGGAGCGCAGUACAUCUCGCGCUUUGCACUCAGAACGACGACGUCCAAAAGUACAUUUUUACACUCUUGACCUCGGAUCAGGUAGGGAUACCCGCUGAACUUAAGCAUAUCAAUAAGCGGAGGA